rnacentral:rRNA from 1 species
ACGAACGCUGGCGGCGUGCUUAACACAUGCCAGUCGAACGGUGAAGCGCCUUCCUUUUUGGUGGGUGUGGAUGAGUGGCGAACGGGUGAGUAACACGUGAGUAACCUGCCCCCUUCUUCUGGAUAACCGCAUGAAAGUGUGGCUAAUACGGGAUAUUCUGGGUCUGUCGCAUGAUGGGUCUGGGAAAGAUAUUGGUUCGGUGGGGGAUGGGCUCGCGGCCUAUCAGCUUGUUGGUGGGGUGAUGGCCUACCAAGGCGGUGACGGGUAGCCGGCCUGAGAGGGUGGACGGUCACACUGGGACUGAGACACGGCCCAGACUCCUACGGGAGGCAGCAGGGGGGAAUAUUGCACAAUGGGCGCAAGCCUGAUGCAGCGACGCCGCGUGAGGGAUGGAGGCCUUCGGGUUGUGAACCUCUUUCGCCAGUGAAGCAGGCCUGCCUCGUUUGUGGGUGGGUUGACGGUAGCUGGAUAAGAAGCGCCGGCUAACUACGUG